UACGUAGGGGGCAAGCGUUGUCCGGAAUCAUUGGGCGUAAAGAGCGCGUAGGCGGUUCGGUAAGUCGGAUGUGAAAGUCCAGGGCUCAACCCUGGAAUGCCGGUGGAAACUGUCGGGCUGGAGUCCGGAAGAGGCGAGUGGAAUUCCUGGUGUAGCGGUGAAAUGCGCAGAUAUCAGGAGGAACACCAAUGGCGAAGGCAGCUCGCUGGGACGGUACUGACGCUGAGACGCGAAAGCGUGGGGAGCAAACAGG
rnacentral:rRNA from 1 species